UGCGGGAGUAGUGUAGCGGUUAUCACAGGGGCUUCCCAAGCCCUUAACCCGGGUUCAAAUCCCGGCUUCCGCAU
rnacentral:tRNA from 1 species